GGUAGUCCACGCCCUAAACGAUGUCAACUAGCUGUUGGGGCCUUCGGGCCUUGGUAGCGCAGCUAACGCGUGAAGUUGACCGCCUGGGGAGUACGGUCGCAAGAUUAAAACUCAAAGGAAUUGACGGGGACCCGCACAAGCGGUGGAUGAUGUGGAUUAAUUCGAUGCAACGCGAAAAACCUUACCUACCCUUGACAUGUCUGGAAUCCCAAAGAGAUUAGGGAGUGCUCGCAAGAGAACCGGAACACAGGUGCUGCAUGGCUGUCGUCAGCUCGUGUCGUGAGAUGUUGGGUUAAGUCCCGCAACGAGCGCAACCCUUGUCAUUAGUUGCUACGAAAGGGCACUCUAAUGAGACUGCCGGUGACAAACCGGAGGAAGGUGGGGAUGACGUCAAGUCCUCAUGGCCCUUAUGGGUAGGGCUUCACACGUCAUACAAUGGUCGGGACAGAGGGUCGCCAACCCGCGAGGGGGAGCCAAUCCCAGAAACCCGAUCGUAGUCCGGAUCGUAGUCUGCAACUCGACUACGUGAAGUCAGAAUCGCUAGUAAUCGCGGAUCAGAAUGUCGCGGUGAAUACGUUCCCGGGUCUUGUACACACCGCCCGUCACACCAUGGGAGUGGGUUCCACCAGAAGUAGUUAGCCUAACCGCAAGGAGGGCGAUUACCACGGUGGGGUUCAUGACUGGGGUGAAGUCGUAACAAGGUAGCCGUAUCGGAAGGUGC
rnacentral:rRNA from 1 species